rnacentral:rRNA from 1 species
AACUAACGCUGGCGGCGUGCCUAACACAUGCAAGUCGUACGAGAAAGUCCGCUUCGGUGGAUAAGUAAAGUGGCGCACGGGUGAGUAACGCGUGGAUAAUCUGCACUUCAGCGGGGAAUAACUCAUCGAAAGGUGGGCUAAUACCCCAUAACACUGUUUUUGCCCCGGCAGGACAGUCAAAGACGGCCUCUGUUUACAAGCUGUCACUGAAGGAUGAGUCCGCGUACCAUUAGCUAGUUGGUAGGGUAAUGGCCUACCAAGGCUGCGAUGGUUAGCUGGUCUGAGAGGAUGAUCAGCCACACUGGAACUGAGACACGGUCCAGACUCCUACGGGAGGCAGCAGUGAGGAAUCUUGCGCAAUGGGGGCAACCCUGACGCAGCAACGCCGCGUGAGUGAGGAAGGUCUUCGGAUCGUAAAGCUCUGUCGGGUGGGAAGAAACGUAUGGAGGUUAAUAGCCUUUAUACUUGACGGUACCACCAAAGGAAGCACCGGCUAACUCCGUGCCAGCAGCCGCCGUAACAC